rnacentral:rRNA from 1 species
GACGGAGGUGGCUAGCGUUAUUCGGAUUUAUUGGGCGUAAAGGGCGCGUAGGCGGUUUGGUAAGUCUGAUGUGAAAUCUUCAUCGCUCAACGAGAAGACGGCAUCGGAUACUGCCAUUCUUGAGUUCGGGAGAGGUGAAUGGAAUUCCUGGUGUAGCGGUGGAAUGCGUAGAUAUCAGGAGGAACACCGGUGGCGAAAGCGGUUCACUGGCCCGAAACUGACGCUGAGGCGCGAAAGCGUGGGGA